rnacentral:rRNA from 1 species
GACGAACGCUGGCGGCGUGCUUAACACAUGCAAGUCGAACGCUGAAGCUUGGUGCUUGCACUGGGUGGAUGAGUGGCGAACGGGUGAGUAAUACGUGAGUAACCUGCCCUUGACUCUGGGAUAAGCCUGGGAAACUGGAUCUAAUACUGGAUACGACAUGUCACCGCAUGGUGGUGUGUGGAAAGGGUUUUACUGGUUUUGGAUGGGCUCACGGCCUAUCAGCUUGUUGGUGGGUAAUGGCUCACCAAGGCGACGACGGGUAGCCGGCCUGAGAGGGUGACCGGCCACACUGGGACUGAGACACGGCCCAGACUCCUACGGGAGGCAGCAGUGGGGAAUAUUGCACAAUGGGCGGAAGCCUGAUGCAGCGACGCCGCGUGAGGGAUGACGGCCUUCGGGUUGUAAACCUCUUUCAGCACGGAAGAAGCGAAAGUGACGGUACGUGCAGAAGAAGCGCCGGCUAACUACGUG